rnacentral:rRNA from 1 species
AUUGAACGCUGGCGGCAUGCUUUACACAUGCAAGUCGAACGGUAACAGGCCGCAAGGUGCUGACGAGUGGCGAACGGGUGAGUAAUGCAUCGGAACGUGCCCAGUCGUGGGGGAUAACUACUCGAAUGAGUAGCUAAUACCGCAUACGAUCUAUGGAUGAAAGCGGGGGACCGUAAGGCCUCGCGCGAUUGGAGCGGCCGAUGUCAGAUUAGGUAGUUGGUGGGGUAAAGGCUCACCAAGCCAACGAUCGGUAGCUGGUCUGAGAGGACGACCAGCCACACUGGGACUGAGACACGGCCCAGACUCCUACGGGAGGCAGCAGUGGGGAAUUUUGGACAAUGGGCGCAAGCCUGAUCCAGCAAUGCCGCGUGAAGGAAGAAGGCCUUCGGGUUGUAAACUGCUUUUGUACGGAACGAAACGGCUCUGGUUAAUACCCGGGGCUAAUGACGGUACCGUAAGAAUAAGCACCGGCUAACUACGUG